AGAGUUUGAUCCUGGCUCAGGAUGAACGCUAGCGGCAGGCCUAAUACAUGCAAGUCGAGGGGUAGAGCGAGCUUGCUUGCUUGAGACCGGCGCACGGGUGCGUAACGCGUAUGCAACCUACCCUUUUCAGGGGGAUAGCCCGGAGAAAUCCGGAUUAAUACCGCAUAAGACCACACGGCGGCAUCGUCGAGGGGUCAAACAUUUAUGGGAGAAGGAUGGGCAUGCGUGCCAUUAGCUAGUUGGCGGGGUAACGGCCCACCAAGGCGACGAUGGCUAGGGGAUCUGAGAGGAUGGCCCCCCACACUGGUACUGAGACACGGACCAGACUCCUACGGGAGGCAGCAGUAAGGAAUAUUGGUCAAUGGGCGCAAGCCUGAACCAGCCAUGCCGCGUGCAGGAAGACGGCCCUCUGGGUUGUAAACUGCUUUUGUACGGGAAUAAACCUUGCUUCGUGAAGCGAGCUGAAUGUACCGUAAGAAUAAGGAUCGGCUAACUCCGUGCCAGCCGCCGCGGUAAUUC
rnacentral:rRNA from 1 species